GUCACAAAAUAUGCGAUCAAAUGGUAUCAAACUUUUAUUAGGAAUUGAUUGAAAAGGUAACCGCGUAUGUUUUCCACGAGUACAUAUAUCACUAUGAUCAAUAUUGGGAGGACGAGAAAUAAAACGGGGAACAUUAUGUAAAGAGGGGUGACCCAAACAUUGAUGCCAAGUGUCAAAAGAGAUGGGUGGAUGCUUGGAGAGUGGUCGUUGGAGCAUGCUUGAAGUAGUAUAAUCUGUUAUGCUCAUCACCCAUGCCAAUCAGCAUCUUCGUGGUUAGGUCCUGAAAAGUGCAAAAAGUGGGAAAGAAAGAUACAACACAAUUAAGAGAUUUUGUUAAUUGGCUAACAAAUAAUAAAUUAAAUUUGAAAUCAGGAACUGAUAAAACAUUAGAAAGAUUUAAAUUAGGAGAGAAAGGAUAAUCACCAAUGGAAGAGAUAGUGGCAUGUGCACCUGUAGGUAAAUUUACAAAGGAGGGGCAACUAGCAUUUGUUACAUUUUUAAGGGGGGAAGAUGCAAUAUGGUGGGUUGCACCACUAUCUAUUACCCAAGGGGACGAGUUAGGGGAAAAAUGGGAAGAAUUGGGAAAAAAAUUGGAAGGGCCGAGAGACAAACUUGCGAAGGCCAUGACUGGUGGUUUUAAGAGUUCCAUUAAUUGGUUGUAUUGUUCGGUAGAGAGACCAUGGGCGACACUUGUGGUUGGGGUCUGGUCGACAGCGACUUGGUGCACCGCUGGAGAAGAAAAACGAGCAACCCGAGGCUAACUUCAUGGUGGAGGUUUGUUCUUUGAAGGCCACCAAUCUGGGUAUCCUAAAAUCUCGAAACAUUUGUCACGUGUGUGACUCGGCCUACCACAUUCUUCACAAUUGGGCGUCCCAGUCUGCCAGACGCGAUGAGGACGGGAGGUGGCUCGCUGCUGUAAGCAAGCAAGGAAAGUGGAAAUCUCUGGCUGAGAGGUGGUCGAUUGGACCAGUCAUUGUGUCUCUUCUUGAUGUAGAAUGGCGUAACAACAGCCAAUUGAUGGGAGUGGUUCCGUAGCCAGAAUUUGUGACCGGAGUUGCUGGAAGCUACCAUUUAGACCCAUGAGGAAUUGGUAGAUUCGGUCAAAUUCCUGGGUCUCAGAGAGUGAUUUAGAUGCACCGCAAGUGCACGAAACUGUGGGUUGUAGAGAAGCUAAUUCAUCCCAUAAUUCCUUCAACCGUCCAUAGUAAGUAGUGAUUGAUUGUUUUUCUUGAUGGAGGUUUGCUAAAUCUCGUUUCAAGCAAAAUAUUUUGGUGCGGUUACUUUGAUAGAAAUGGGUUUCUAGUUCAACCCAUAAAUCGUUUGUUGUGUCGCAAUAUAGGAAGCUACCUGUGAGGGAUCUAUCGAUAGAAUGGAAGAGCGAAGACAUUAUCAUGUCACAGCAUCUGUCCCAAAGAAGAGCAGCAACAGCGUCAUCGGUUGGUCGUUUGAUAGUGCUAAGAACGAAACCCAGUUUGUUCUUGGCGUUCAGUGCACGAGUUAUUGCUCAGCGCCAAGCAGGGUAGUUAUCCCCAUUGAGAGGCACAUCGACGAGAAAUUGAUUGGGUUGGUCAAAUGACUGUAAGUAGUAUGGGGAGGUAGCAUCGGUGAGGGAUUUCAAAGCAUCAGGGGCGGCCGCAUGUGUGGUUGAAUCUGCCAUGGUAAAGGUAUGGAUUGUUCAAACCUUCGGCUCUGAUACCAUGUUAGAAUUUGGUAGAAUAUAAUUUACGAAUGAAGAAUUCCUUCUCAUUGAUUAAAUGAAUACGUUACAACUCUUCUUAUAAUGAAAGAAAACGUGUGUGUAUCUAAUGUAGGAAAGAAAAUAUUAUGUAAUAAAACAAUGCAAUUGAUAAG
rnacentral:lncRNA from 1 species